rnacentral:rRNA from 1 species
AAACUUUCAACAACGGAUCUCUUGGUUCUGGCAUCGAUGAAGAACGCAGCGAAAUGCGAUACGUAAUGUGAAUUGCAGACACCGUGAAUCAUCGAAUCUUUGAACGCACAUUGCGCCCUUUGGUAUUCCGAAGGGCAUGCCUGUUCGAGCGUCAUUAC